CUCUCUCUUCCAGUUCAUUCCAAGUCUGUGAUCAGUUUAUUUCAAGUCUUUGAUUAUUGGAUAUUAAAUCUUUCUCUCUUUCUGCAAAUUCAACAAUGGAGUAGUCUGAUUCCUAGCCUGAUGUAGCCAAGCAGAGUGGUGAGGUUUCACAAUCUGUUUCUGGGUCAAUAUUUGCAAGAAAACUAUGGACAGCCCAAUCUUUUUAAUAGGAAGCCAAAACUUUUGGCUUCAGUUUGACCGGAGCAUCCUCAAGAUCUUGCAAAAAUGUCCUAAACACACUUAUGCAGAAGAUUCCUAAAUUUUAUGAGUCUGAUACUAUGUAAAGGCUUUGAUAUUCCUCUGGAAUGAAGUACUACGUCUGCUGUAAAAGCAUCUACAAGAUGUAAGUAUGGAUUUAACUUUUCUAAAGGUUGUCUUUAAAGGGUUUCUUCAAUCUUUCCUCUUUUUAGGAUUUGACUCUUGUAUAUUUUGUCUCUAUAAAGAUGCCAAAUCUUGAUUCUACAAGAGGCAACAAACACGUUUUGUGACACUGGAAGGCUUGGUAUGGCACUUAGACCAAACGCUGAUUGGGUUGAUGUUUCUUAUUAAUUUCUUUGAUCUGGAUCUUUGAUGUUGCUAUAAACAAUGCUUUUAGUAGUACUGUUUCCCUCAAUCCCACCCUCUCUUUUGAGGUAUUUGUAUGAUGAUGUUUAUAGUUAUUCAUGAACUGCCUUUUCUGUAUGCAGGAUUUCCAAAUUUUAUGAGGUUGAACAGAACUUUAGGCCACUGAUUACUAUAAGCAAAAGGCAGAGGAUUUCCUUUGGAAUGAAGAAACACCACUUCUACUUGCUAAACAGCACUUAGGCUUGUUUUCCAAAGUGAAGAAUUGAUUACUACAGCCAACCAAUGCAAGUAUAAAGUUGCAAAAGUUGCUGCUCAGCUAGAAUAGCAGGAAAUUGCCAAAUUGUAGGAGUACAUUGAGCAGGGUAUUAAUUACUUUGAAAAGGCGGUAGAUUUCUUCCACAGCCUACCAAUGCAAAGUCCAAGUAGAAUGUUGUGCAAUUUAUGAGCUUCAAAUUCUUGGUGCUUUCAUUCCUAUUCCUUGUAUACAUCUUUGUACCUAUAUUUGUACUUAGCAAAGCUCACUUUGAAGAGGUAUUUUUGCUUUUUAUCUUGUAAAAGAGAAAAGGUUCUACCUAAGCCUUUAAAAGGUAGUGUUUAGAGGUUAUACCAAAUUCUUAAAAAGGUAUAAAGGUUCUAACUUAACCUUGAAAAGUUAAAGAAGUUGUGUCUUAUCCUUGAAAAGACAAGUUUUGUGCUUAAACCUUUAAAAAGGCACAUUGUAUUAAAUUUAUUCAAUAGUGGAUUAAACACCUUAGCUUGCUAAGUGAG